UGACGCUGACAUUCGACGCUAACAUCCAACCAUGGGUCUGUAUAGAUAGAGGAAGCAGUUAAGCUGUGUCCACUAUGUUAACUGACGGUCAUGGUCACCCAAUUCAGAAAACGUUUGAUCACCAUAAAAGUACAAGUGAACUUCAUUGGCCAUCAAUUAGCUGUUAUAGCGUGGGUCGGGUAGGCUACAUAGGCCACUGUAUCAAAAACGGGUCAUUUGUGGAGUAUCUGUAGAUGCACAGCCUAUCGUGGGUUUGAUGCGUCAGUCUUGACACACGGAUUAAUCAACUGUAUAUUCCUAGGAAGGAUGUUUGACCUUGUUUCGGUUUAUUUCUCACAGUGUUCCAAGCACACCAUGUGUGAAGCAGCUGAAACCGGUUGUGUAAGAGAGCAUGAACUUACAGUGUGGGCAGAGGUCCUACAGUAAUAUCAGGAACAUGUCAUCUAUGAAGAAAAUAAAAAAUACUUUUUCAUUUUGCGGGUUGCAGUCGUUCUUAAGGGGAAAGUUCGCCAAAUGUCAAAAUGACACAUUGAUUUCCUUGUCCUGUAAGCAGUCUAUGGCUGGAUUGACAGCAAUCCAUGCUUUGGUUUAGUUUCCCUGGCACUGUUUCCGCAUGCUAACGUUUUAGCCUUUGUGACACAAAUCCCAUUCAAGUCACGGGACCGAUAUCAGCAUUUUUCAAGCAUCAAUUUGUUCAAAACAUCUAUAACUGACUUUGUAGAGCUUCACAAUGAUUUAUUGAUACCUUUGGAUGAUUUAGACAUGAUGUGCGAAAAUGGCUAAUAUUGUUCCAAUGUGAAGCUGCAUUAAAGCCCCUGCGGUUAGUCCACAUUGGAAACAAACAUUUGAAAUGUAAAAAAACAAACUGGUGAAGUUGACUGAGUUAUGAUUUUUGUGUAGGUUAACUAAAGGAAACUUGGUCAGUCCUUUAAAAAACGAUGGCAGUGAUUUGUUUCUCUGAAAUAAGCUAUUAGAACACUGGUCAGUCAACACCGCAAGUCCUGAGUUGAGAAAACUUUGAAGAAGAGUAAUAGGUGUUUACUAGUCGUGUUAGAUUCAACAACAUGACACAGAGAGAGCAGUAAGUGAGCAGUGGACAGUGCAGCGAGUGUCAUCACGUCAGUCAAUUUGGGGAGGGCUUCUGGCUGUUUAAAAUGGUGUGAAUAUGAUAGCCAAUACUGUAGACAGCCAACGGUAGCAAGUAGACAGACGAGAGUAUUUCAGGACCGUCUGCAACUACAAAAAGUGUAUUGAUUUAAAUGGGGGGAACACUUUUACUGGACAGAAAAAAACAUAUGGUGGAGUAAUUAAUCAUACCCUUUGGGAGGCUGGAGUGAUACAGUGAGGAUUUACUUGGAUUCAUUACCCAAAGAAAGAGAGGGAGAGAAAGAAAGAAAACUACUGAGAGAACGUGACAGUUGGGGCCGUGGAGGUGAGUGAAGCGCGUACUCUUGAGGGGCAAAAGAUGACUGUUGUGACCCGUGAGAACCAGGACGAGACUGUGGUAGUCCCUCCCCUGUACCCAGAUGAUUGCGACGUGGAGCGGGGCGAUCAGGAGUGUAGCGAGAGGGUCGUCAUCAACAUCUCCGGGCUGCGCUUCGAAACUCAACUGAAGACCCUCUCGCGCUUUCCCUCUACGCUAUUGGGAGACCCACGUAAAAGGAUGCGCUUCUUCGAUCCGUUGAGAAAUGAGUACUUUUUCGACAGGAAUAGACCCAGCUUUGAUGCCAUCCUUUAUUAUUACCAGUCUGGAGGGAGGCUUAGGAGACCUGUCAACGUUACCAUGGACAUUUUCAUGGAAGAAAUCAAAUUUUAUGAAAUCGAAGAGGAGACCAUAGAGAUGUUCAAAGAAGAUGAAGGUAUGAUCAGAGAGGUGGAACGUCCGAUGCCUGACAACGACUUUCAGCGCCAGAUGUGGUUGUUGUUUGAGUACCCGGACAGCUCAGGGCCUGCCCGGAUGAUCGCUGUUGUAUCAGUCAGUGUGAUUUUGAUAUCCAUAUUGAUCUUCUGUUUGGAGACUUUGCCACGGUUCAGGGAAGAUCACAGCACAGACAUAGAACUCAGUAAUCACCUCACCACGAAUGGGACUACUCGCCACAAAAAAAGUAAUCCGUUGACAGACCCGUUUUUUAUGGUUGAGUCACUUUGCAUCGUAUGGUUUUCCUUUGAAUUUCUCAUGAGGUUUUUAUCAAGCCCCAGCAAACCGGCUUUCUUCAAAAACGCAAUGAACGUCAUUGACAUAUUAGCGAUUGCUCCUUAUUUCAUCACCCUUGGACUUGAACUCGCAGAGCUACAGGGAGCGGGGAGCGAGCAGGCCACGUCGUUAGCGAUACUCAGAGUCAUCCGUUUGGUUCGAGUCUUCAGGAUUUUCAAACUUUCCAGGCACUCCAAGGGUCUCCAAAUCUUGGGCCAGACACUCAACGCCAGUAUCAGUGAACUAGGUCUUUUGAUAUUCUUUCUUCUCAUCGGGGUUAUCCUGUUCUCCAGCGCUGCUUACUUUGCAGAGACAGACGACCCUGAAUCCGGAUUCACGAGUAUCCCCGCCGCAUUUUGGUGGGCGGUGGUGUCCAUGACUACGGUUGGAUAUGGAGACAUGUGCCCGGUUACUGUUGGCGGCAAAAUAGUGGGAUCUAUGUGUGCCAUCGCCGGAGUGCUGACCAUAGCCCUACCUGUCCCUGUCAUUGUUUCCAAUUUUAAUUACUUUUAUCACAGAGAACGCAAUGACGAGGACACCGCCGUGUAUACUCACGUGACUUGUGGCCAACAGAAUACUUCAUUUGGCGAAUUCAAAUCGACCAGCGACAGCAAACAGUCCCUCGCCAAAUCAGAGUACAUUGAAGAUGAUUCUUUCGAGACUAUCAGAUUUACUAACUUCAGCCCGUUUGAACAUUACACUGGCAAACUGACAGAUGUAUGAAAAAACAAGCAACGCCCUAGCUGAGCAGAAAAAACGAUAUCGGUGAGUAGCCAGCCUGAGAACAUUUACGGGCGCUUUUACGCAAGCAGUAAGUUGUCAUACAAUCUCUCAAUAACUUUAAUUAAUUUGUUGGAUACCUUCAGUUGGCCUAAUGCUUCAUCACAGUAAUGUCGGGUCAGUGUCCGGCCUAUGUGCAUGUUUGAAUAACUACACGCAGUUUUACCCACCCUAUUACGCACGGUGUUUGUUGGCAUAUAAUCUUAAAAUAGCUGGAAUUAAUUUGUUUGACACCUUCAGUAGGCCUAAAACUGUAUUACAGGUCAGUAGCAUACAGUGUUGUGGCCACAGCAACUUCUAAAACUGGGUUGCUUUUGGAGAGUUUAUAGAAUUUCUGAACUCGGAGCGCCACUGUGUGGUUGAAACGCAAUCGCGCAGCAGACGCUUCUCAGGGGACAAGAUCAAAGACCAUUGCUUUUCUGCUCCACUUGAAAGGAAAUGCAGGCAUGGCUUUUCCAAUUCUAGAUAUACUUGUAACUGAAAAAGUCAAGAUAGUGAAUAAAAAACACACAUGACAUGUCUCCAUGAACAAUUGGCCAGCAAUGUGAGAUGACAGAUGCUGAUGCAUCAUCCAACGGAGAGCUCGCUGAAGAAAAUACGGUUUUGGAACAUCUGCCUUUAGGAAACUGAUAACCUUUGAAAAUCAAUUCGCCUUUCAAAGUAUUUUGCAGUGUAUUCAAUGAACUAUGAAAUGACUACUGUAGAUAUCCUGUUGUGUAUUGUUGUAAAUAGGCCUAUACUGUAAAUUCAAUCGUUGUGCUCAACUCAGAAUCUUUAUGCGAACAUAUCUGUGUGCCUUUAAGUGGAUGAUUUCAAAAUAACCAUUUGGGUAGUCCUUUAUUUUAUUGAACUAUUUAUUGCACAGAGAAUCUGAUUUUGCUAUAAACGUUCCUUGGGAAGCUAGUUUUAAAACCACUAGUCUUAAAAUAACUUAACCAUAGGAAUCUUAUUAAGUAUGCAUGUAAGGAGAUAUCAGUUGUGCUCAAAAAAUGUCAUGAAGAUGUAUUUAUAUUUUUGUAA